rnacentral:rRNA from 1 species
GACGAACGCUGGCGGCGUGCUUAACACAUGCAAGUCGAACGGUAAGGCCCUUCGGGGUACACGAGUGGCGAACGGGUGAGUAACACGUGGGUGAUCUGCCCUGCACUUCGGGAUAAGCCCGGGAAACUGGGUCUAAUACCGGAUAGGACCCUGGGAUGCAUGUCCUGGGGUGGAAAGCUUUUGCGGUGCGGGAUGGGCCCGCGGCCUAUCAGCUUGUUGGUGGGGUGAUGGCCUACCAAGGCGACGACGGGUAGCCGGCCUGGGAGGGUGACCGGCCACACUGGGACUGAGAUACGGCCCAGACUCCUACGGGAGGCAGCAGUGGGGAAUAUUGCACAAUGGGCGCAAGCCUGAUGCAGCGACGCCGCGUGAGGGAUGACGGCCUUCGGGUUGUAAACCUCUUUCAGCACCGACGAAGCGCAAGUGACGGUAGGUGCAGAAGAAGGACCGGCCAACUACGUGCCAGCCGCCGCUGUAA